GCGGCAGUAGCUCAGCUGGUAGAGCGCAACCUUGCCAAGGUUGAGGUCGCGGGUUCGAGUCCCGUCUGCCGCU
rnacentral:tRNA from 1 species